UAAGUUAGCUUAAAAUAAUUAGUUUCGACCUAAUUUUUGAUUGGCUAAUUUUUAAUAAUUUAA
rnacentral:tRNA from 1 species